rnacentral:rRNA from 1 species
AUUGAACGCUGGCGGCAUGCCUUACACAUGCAAGUCGAACGGUAACAGGUCUUCGGAUGCUGACGAGUGGCGGACGGGUGAGUAAUACAUCGGAACGUGCCUAGUAGUGGGGGAUAACUACUCGAAAGAGUGGCUAAUACCGCAUGAGAUCUACGGAUGAAAGCAGGGGAUCGCAAGACCUUGUGCUACUAGAGCGGCCGAUGGCAGAUUAGGUAGUUGGUGGGAUAAAAGCUUACCAAGCCGACGAUCUGUAGCUGGUCUGAGAGGACGAUCAGCCACACUGGGACUGAGACACGGCCCAGACUCCUACGGGAGGCAGCAGUGGGGAAUUUUGGACAAUGGGCGCAAGCCUGAUCCAGCAAUGCCGCGUGCAGGAUGAAGGCCUUCGGGUUGUAAACUGCCUUUGUACGGAACGAAAAGCCCUGGGUUAAUACCCUGGGGUCAUGACGGUACCGUAAGAAUAAGCACCGGCUAACUACGUGCCAGCCGCCGCGGUAAAAC